UGGAACUCACCUCUGGUGGUGCAGCACAAAGCAUGUAAAAACAAUGGUAGUUUCUCUCUGGGUCUGAGACUUGGCAAACACGUGACCUUUCAAGAAGAUAUGUCCUAACUGCAGCCCCAGAGAUCUUCCCAUGCUUAUCAAAUUGAAUUUCAACAAAUUUACCAAAACGACUGGUACGACGACUCAGUCAUGUCAAUUUCUUGUAAGGGAAAAAUAUGAAAAGAAAACCAAAAAAUAAUAGUGAUAAACCUUUGAUUUCAUUUUUUGGUUUACCUGGAAUUGUUGUUCUUCACGGUCUUUGCAUUUCCAAAUGCUUCUAAAACUGGGUUGGACUGGAAAAGCAGAAUUAUGAAUUUGCAUUGAACUCUAGUAGUAGACCAUUCAAGUAUAAUAAGCAGCAAAUAGUAAUUAGUGCCCACCUCCAAAACUUGUUGCUCGACUGUUCUUCCUUCAGUUCCAGAACGCCCGCCCAUGAAUGCGAGAUACCUCAUUAACAUUUUCGUUGUCUCAGUUUUGCCAGCUCCACUCUCUCCACUGACCAAGAUAGAUUGGCUCCCAUGUUCAUUUAUCAAUGCCCUGAUAUGUGCAGUUUAAACUUGUUAAAUUUGGCAAGUCAUUCAUUUAAUGUGUGGUAUAACCUAAUAAUUUCAGUUGAACUGAUAUACCUAUAACAGGCAUCUGCCACAGCAAAAAGAUGCGGACUUAGCUCUCCAAAUGGGGCUCCCUUGUACUGCUGCAUCAUAUGGAUAUCAUACAGAUGUGGAAGUCUCCGAAAUGGAUUCACCGCAAUUAGGAUAUUCCCUGUGUAAGUCUGCAAAUUUGGGAUGUUUUUUACAUCGAUAAGACUUGCUUUCUGCAGCUACUCCUGUGAAGUUCACGAUUGAAUGAAAAAGUAUGACUUACAUAUAUCUCAUUUAGAGCAUACCGACAAGCAAGGUUAUUUAGAACCCCAGGCUCAUGUAGGUAAGCUAACUUGGUCAUGUCAUCAACCCCUGCUGGUGGUGCUUCGGUGUCCUUUGGGUAUAUGCUAGAAAUAGGAGCAACUGUCUGGAGCAGAAAGUAGUGUUAUGGCUUAAUAUAAAUAAAUGUUGGCUGUUCACAUGUUAAGAACAUUAGUUUGUAGAAAUUAUGUUUAUUGCAUCCUAAAAAUAUCAACAGAGCACAUUCGUAAAUGUUCAUGGUAGAGGAUACCUAUCAUGAAAAUCAAUAAUAGUUCAAUGUAAGGCAAAAGGAAAAGCUGCACAAACUGUCCUACAGGUAUAUUGAUGUUUUAUAUCUGAUUGAUUAUAUUUAACUAUUAUCGUCCUAUUUGUUCCAUGACCGAUCCCAUUUGCUUGGGAACUUCUGUCCUAGACUGUGUUUCAAUAAGCUUAUAAAAGCUAAUAAGCUCCUAAUUUUCAUAUAAUAUGCAUUACGACUUUGAUUUGACACUGUAAUAUUGUUCAGACAGCAUCUUUUGCAAUCAUAAUAUAUUCUCUGAAAGAUGCUACCAAUAUCAGAUUUCUGUGAGGUUCUGACUUUAUUGAUUAGAGUAUGACUGCUUACCUUCCUCCCAUUAGUUGUGACUACUGUAGCAUUUGAGCCCUUAAUUUCUGUAACUUCUCCAUCAAUCCAAGCAUCAUCAGGAUCCUCAAUCCACACUUGGGAUCCAACUAUGAUGUUUACAGGAGUUCCCUGAAUCACAAAAGAUAAAAUUCAAUAUUUCCUUCAUCAAUUGAAACAGAAGAACAUGAGAUAUUGAUCAUAGAGAAGUCUCACCAUGGAAGUACUUUAGACUAUCUGAUCAUGGAACUCAACAGAGAAUUGUUAUAAGAGACUGAUGAAUUGAUAUAUUGAGGGGAAAAGGACGAAGGGAAGAGAAAUGAAUUUCAGAGAGAAUGUGGUGUUCUUAAGGAAAUGAUGAAUGGAUGAAUGGAUGAAUGUAGAAACAGAAAAGUAAAAAAAAAAAAAGAAUGUUGAAAAAGAAUGUUUCAAAGGCAGGCUAAAAGCAGAGGUAAUGAAGAUGGUGGUAACUCAAAAGCAAAAGGCAGAGCAGUCACCCCUCACCACCACCCCUUCCCCACAUCAUGUCAGCUUUUAUUCUACCAAGUCCACAUAGGAUGCUGACUUGGCACCUGUACAGCUUUGAAAUACAGAAACUUCUGCUACUUUUGGGUUGGCUAUUUGUACAAAUACAUUGCUUAAAUUUACAGGCAAAAUCAUUUUCAAAUUGAUACCUUAAUAAAAUAGAUCAUAGUUUUUAUUUAAAGAUUUUAUUCUCUAUCUAUAACUUGUGCUAUGCACUGAAAAGCCAGGGUGUUUGUCAUGAUGCUGUGCAUUACCAAAGAGUUGUGGGUUGGACCAGGUCUGAUUAAUGUAUAGUUAAUAUGUGAGUGAAGGUGGUGUCUUUUUGCAUAAUUGUUGGCUUUACUUUCUCUUAAAUCAAUGGGGGUUAAAGAUGAUUAGAUCUAAAUUCGCUACAGAAAUGCCCCACUUACUGCCUUUGCUACCCCCAUCUUUACUGAGCUACUUUCACCUGUUCUCUUCCCUUCUUUUUUUUCAGGUUAACUUUUUCGCCACCUGGGGUUUCUAUCAAAUUCAACACCAGGAUGCAGGCAGGUAUUACUAUGUUAAAGACUUUUAAGAUUCUCCCAGAAUUCUUACUAAUAUUUUAAGAAUUUAUGUUGUGCUCAAAUUGUGGACUUUCACAGAGUUACACAAAUUCAUGACAAUGUUACAUGACAUUGUAUUUGUAUUUCCUCAAGACUGGCCGCACUCUGAUUUUCUUCUCCCAUUUUGAUCUACUAUUGAUUUCAAGAUUUUCCUGAAGUUUCAGCUUUACGUCACUGGCAUCCAAAAAUUUUGCAGUGAUUUUAGCUUUUAAGAAUAGGAAAAGGAGUUGAAAUGGGGAAUUCUUGAAAUGCCAGUCAUGAGUCAUACUGAGGCAAAAAGGACCACCAUGGGGAUUGUAGUUGUAGAAAAGAGAUGUACAGAAGUUAGAAAAAUAGCUAGCUGCCAGUGGAUCACCUGGAAACUAACUGGAUUUAACUUACAUAAUUUGACAUUGUAAAAUUUUUAACAUGUUGUAACACUUGUCUUGCUUUAGGCUACUAAUUUCACUUUUUA
rnacentral:lncRNA from 1 species